rnacentral:rRNA from 1 species
AACGGCCGCGGUAUUYUGACCGUGCGAAGGUAGCGUAAUCACUUGUCUUUUAAAUAAAGACUGGAAUGAAUGGCUAAACGAGGCUUUACCUGUCUCUUACGGGUAAUCAGUGAAAUUGAUCUCCUCGUGCAAAAGCGAGAAUAAUAACAUAAGACGAGAAGACCCUGUGGAACUUUAAAUAAUGACUAAACAAUAAGAAAUACACCAACCAACACGGCCCACCAACCACAAUCUUUCAUUAGCCUUAUUUUCGGUUGGGGUGACCUCGGAGAAAAACCAAACCUCCGAAGAUUUACACCAAGAAAAACAAAUCAAAGUACCCACGGCUAAACGAUCCAAUACAUUUGAUUAAUGAACCAAGCUACCCCAGGGAUAACAGCGCAAUCCCCUCUUAGAGUUCCUAUCAACGAUGGGGGUUUACGACCUCGAUGUUGGAUCAGGACAUCCUAAUGG